UACGUAGGGGGCGAGCGUUGUCCGGAUUUAUUGGGCGUAAAGAGCGUGUAGGCGGCUUGGUAGGUCUGCUGUGAAAACUCGGGGCUCAACCCCGAGACGUCGGUGGAAACCACCUGGCUAGAGUCCGGAAGAGGAGAGUGGAAUUCCUGGUGUAGCGGUGAAAUGCGCAGAUAUCAGGAAGAAUAUCCGUGGCGAAGGCGGCUCUCUGGGCAUUACCUGACGCUGAGGAGCGAAAGUGUGGGGAGCGAACAGG
rnacentral:rRNA from 1 species